AUUGAACGCUGGCGGCAGGCUUAACACAUGCAAGUCGAACGAGUGGCGGACGGGUGAGUAAUGCUUGGGCAUCUAGCUUAUGGAGGGGGAUAACUACGGGAAACUGUAGCUAAUACCGCGUACCAUAGGAUGAGGCAAAGUGGGAUUAGGUAGUUGGUGAGGUAAAGGCUCACCACGCCGACGAUGUCUAGCUGGUCUGAGAGGAUGACCAGCCACACUGGGACUGAGACACGGCCCAGACUCCUACGGGAGGCAGCAGUGGGGAAUAUUGCGCAAUGGGCGCAAGCCUGAUGGAGCCAUGCCGCGUGUAUGAAGAAGGCCUUCGGGUUGUAAAGUACUUUCAGUCGGGAGGCGUUACCGACAGAAGAAGCAACGGCUAACUCCGUGCCAGCCGCCGCGGUAAUAC
rnacentral:rRNA from 1 species